ensembl:snRNA U6 U6 spliceosomal RNA
GUGCCCACUUUGGCACCAUAUAUACUAAAAUUAGAACUAUACAGGAAAGAUUAGCAGGAUCUCUGUGCAGAGAUGACACAAAUUUAUGAAGAAUUCCUCUAUUUUGUU